CCUACGGGAGGCAGCAGUGAGGAAUAUUGGUCAAUGGGCGCGAGCCUGAACCAGCCAAGUAGCGUGAAGGAUGACUGCCCUACGGGUUGUAAACUUCUUUUAUAAAGGAAUAAAGUGAGGCACGUGUGCCUUUUUGUAUGUACUUUAUGAAUAAGGAUCGGCUAACUCCGUGCCAGCAGCCGCGGUAAUACGGAGGAUCCGAGCGUUAUCCGGAUUUAUUGGGUUUAAAGGGAGCGUAGAUGGGUUGUUAAGUCAGUUGUGAAAGUUUGCGGCUCAACCGUAACAUUGCGAUUGAUACUGGCAGCCUUGAGUACAGUUGAGGUAGGCGGAAUUCGCGGUGUAGCGGUGAAAUGCUUAGAUAUCACGAAGAACUCCGAUUGCGAAGGCAGCUUACUAACUUGACACUGACAUUGAUGCUCGAAAGUGUGGGUAUCGAACAGGAUUAGAUACCCCUGUAGUC
rnacentral:rRNA from 1 species